GGUCCCUCCCCACCCCAGGGAGGAAACAGCACCCGGAGGGAGCAGCCGACUCUUGUGCACCGGCCUAUGCCUGACACUGAAGAACCAUCCCCAGCCGAGCCCGCCUGCAGCCCUGAGCUCUCCACACAGGCAGCCACGGAAAGCAUCUUGGCCCCAGAACACGCCGCAGGUGGCAGGCCCUCGGGUGCCUGCAGAGCCGGGUGGGCACCACGGUCACGAGAUGUUCAGAAGGUUGGGCAGCAUGAAGACACACCUCAGCCAGAUGUGGGGAACCAGAGGAGGCCUUCUGGAGACCUGGGGACCGGAGGUGAUUCGGCGGCUACAUCUAGACUAACCAACCCUCCCUGAGUCUAUUCCGCGUGCCUUUGCUAAGUGCCGCGUGAAGGUGAAGGAAAAUGCUGGUCUGCGGAGGAAGCUCCCCUCGUGGGGCCUCCUCAGCCCCUGGUGCCCUGCAGGGUGGGGGCGCCCCCAGGCCAGGCCAGGCUGCGGGAACCCCGGGCUCCGAUGCUCCGACAGUCAGGGCAGGACAGGGACUUUCCCUAAUGCCAAACAGGGGGAGGCCUUGGUCAUACAGGGGGCCAAGGUCGCGCAGGAGCGUGUGGCAAGGCCAGAACUCAGCGCCCAGACUCCCCAGCCCGGGCUUUCGAGUCACCCGCGUGGGCCUCAGACAAAGCGCCAGGUUCUCAGGAAUCCUCCGGAUGGGUGAUGCGACCGUCUCCCGUCCGAGCCCAGGUCCUGCGCUGCGCUGUGGGGCGGGAGGAC